rnacentral:rRNA from 1 species
GUAGUCAUAUGCUUGUCUCAAAGAUUAAGCCAUGCAUGUCUAAGUAUAAGCAACUUGUACUGUGAAACUGCGAAUGGCUCAUUAAAUCAGUUAUCGUUUAUUUGAUAGUACCUUACUACAUGGAUACCUGUGGUAAUUCUAGAGCUAAUACAUGCUAAAAACCCCGACUUCAGGAAGGGGUGUAUUUAUUAAAUAAGCCG